rnacentral:rRNA from 1 species
UACGGGGGGGGCUAGCGUUGUUCGGAAUUACUGGGCGUAAAGGGCGCGUAGGCGGUCUGCUAAGUUGGAUGUGAAAACUCUGGGCUUAACCCAGAGCCUGCAUUCAAUACUGACAGGCUAGAGUUCUGGAGGGGAUAGCGGAAUUCCUGGUGUAGCGGUGAAAUGCGCAGAUAUCAGGAGGAACACCGGUGGCGAAGGCGGUUCUCUGGGCAUUACCUGACGCUGAGGAGCGAAAGUGUGGGGAGCGAACAGG